rnacentral:rRNA from 1 species
AUUGAACGCUGGCGGCAUGCCUUACACAUGCAAGUCGAACGGUAACAGGUCUUCGGAUGCUGACGAGUGGCGAACGGGUGAGUAAUACAUCGGAACGUGCCUAGUAGUGGGGGAUAACUACUCGAAAGAGUGGCUAAUACCGCAUGAGAUCUACGGAUGAAAGCAGGGGAUCGCAAGACCUUGUGCUACUAGAGCGGCCGAUGGCAGAUUAGGUAGUUGGUGGGAUAAAAGCUUACCAAGCCGACGAUCUGUAGCUGGUCUGAGAGGACGAUCAGCCACACUGGGACUGGGACACUGCCCACACGCCUACGGGAGGCAGCAGUGGGGAAUUUUGGACAAUGGGCGCAAGCCUGAUCCAGCAAUGCCGCGUGCAGGAUGAAGGCCUUCGGGUUGUAAACUGCUUUUGUACGGAACGAAAAGCCCUGGGUUAAUACCCUGGGGUCAUGACGGUACCGUAAGAAUAAGCACCGGCUAACUACGUGCCAGCCGCCGCCGUAA